UGGAAUCGUAGGAAUUUAGUGGGAAAUAAUUUUCUGUUUGGGUUUUGGGAUUUAAAUGUAAUAUGUUGUGUACAUUUUUAUUUUAUUUAUUAGAUCCAUAUUGAAAAAAAUUAUCAGUAUCACUCAUGGAAAAAGGAACUGAUUACAAGAGAUGUUACUGAAAGAGAACAUUUAAAGUAUUUUCUAAACUAUUUCAGUAAAUGUAAGUGCCUGCAUGCAUAUGAAGGAAUAUUAUUUUUCUUGCUGAUGAUGGACAAAAUUGAUGAUGCUGAUAGACGGCAGCGACUGCUUCAGCUGGAAAGCCGCCUUAUUGAAGUCAAAUCAGAAAUUAAUGUUGAUGGAUUGUUGG